UACGUAGGCACCAAGCGUUAUCCGGAUUUAUUGGGCGUAAAGAGCUCGUAGGCGGUUCGGUAAGUCGGGUGUGAAAACUCUGGGCUCAACCCAGAGAGGCCACCCGAUACUGCUGUGACUAGAGUGCGGUAGGGGAGCGGGGGAAUUCCUGGUGUAGCGGUGAAAUGCGCAGAUAUCAGGAGGAACACCGAUGGCGAAGGCAGGUCUCUGGGCCAUAACUGACGCUGAGAAGCGAAAGCAUGGGGAGCGAACAGG
rnacentral:rRNA from 1 species